CGUGCGGGUGUGCCUUGGUGAUGGCCCUCGCCGUCUUUCCAUCACCACCACAGCAGUCUGUGAGAGACUCAAGCCCCUUGAAGAGGUCAUGGCACUCACGCAUGAUGGUGCCGAUACCCAGGUUGUCGUGGGCUUCCAGACCAUCUGUGACCAGCGCGUCGAGCUCUGGGUCCAAGGCCGCGGUGCUCUCGUCGAAGAGCGACGCGCUAUGCACGUCCUCGAACACCGAUGGCACCGGCCCGGUGACGUCCUUCUUGAACCACUCGGCCAUCCCCAGCGCGGCUUCCAUGUAGUGCGGCGACGUCCCGGCGAGCACGAAGGACGUCUGGCUGUGGUGUUCUUCCGCAUCGACACCAUCCACCAGGACACGGGAGAGUGGGUUGAGGCGGAAGAGCUCCGCCCCGGAGUUGUUGGUGCCGCCGGCGGCGAAGACGCCUGAGGUGACCAGCGCGCGCAUCAGGCGGCCGAGGAACGGCUGCUUGCUUGCCGGGAUGGACAGCACGGCCGCCAGGUCGGGCAGCGAGGUGACCCCGCCGAGGUUGUGCAUCGCCGUCGGGAUGCCGAGCUUGACGGCGCAGCGGAGCCCCAUGGACGUGAGGUAGUAGAGGGUGUGGCGCCACAGGUCGGCCUGAGCCUGCAGCAGCUCGGCAUCAGUGGGAACCUCGAUCGCCGGUACCUGGGCGGCCAUUGCUCUUUCCGUCUCGAUCACUGGCUGAUAUUUCUCUGCUCAGCUUGACCUAAUCUGAU
rnacentral:lncRNA from 1 species